GGAGGAUAGGCAGAUAUCGGUUUGCUGCACUGCACUGCUAACGCAGUUCCCAACGAAAGUCGGGAUGAGGGUUCGAGCCCCUUGUCCUCCG
rnacentral:tRNA from 1 species